AUACGUAGGGUGCGAGCGUUGUCCGGAAUUACUGGGCGUAAAGAGCUCGUAGGUGGUUUGUCGCGUCGUCUGUGAAAUUCCGGGGCUUAACUCCGGGCGUGCAGGCGAUACGGGCAUAACUUGAGUACUGUAGGGGAGACUGGAAUUCCUGGUGUAGCGGUGAAAUGCGCAGAUAUCAGGAGGAACACCGGUGGCGAAGGCGGGUCUCUGGGCAGUACCUGACGCUGAGGAGCGAAAGCAUGGGUAGCGAACAGGAUUAGUUACCCUGGUAGUCCAUGCCGUAAACGGUGGGGGCUAGGUGUAGGGGUCUUCCACGAUUUCUGUGCCGUAGCUAACGCAUUAAGCGCCCCGCCUGGGGAGUACGGCCGCAAGGCUAAAACUCAAAGGAAUUGACGGGG
rnacentral:rRNA from 1 species